rnacentral:lncRNA from 10 species
CUCUGAGGGAUUUCAUUGGGUUACGGUUGCCAGGGAAACCAUUUGACUUGGUAAUCAAUAUGUUCAGUAUGUCUCUGUUGCUGUGUGCUUAAUUCCUACUGAUACCAUUGCAGAGUGGAUCCAUGGAAAACACUGGGUAGGAAAAAAAGAAAACCUUGAAAUAUUAGCUUCAAUGAAGGAAAAUCUGGAUAACUUAUUCUUAUGAAUCUGAAACAAUUUAAGAAAACAAAUGACUGCUUGAUUUUUGUGCCAAUUGAAUAGAAUGGGAUUCAAUUUUUAAUAGCAAGUUGGCAUGGCUAAGUAAGGUCCCUGGGAUUCUCUUGCAAUGCCGUGAAAGCAAAAGGACAGCUCUCCUAACAAGAAGCCAAGAUUGCUACAGGAGGCUGAGGAGAGGAAAAAGCCCUUUUCUCAUCACCAUUGAUUCCUUCAGUCUCCAUGAUUUCCUCUCAAGAACUGCCAUUUGUUGCUGUAGAUGGCCCAGUUGCAGACGUGCCUGAGUUCAGCAUAGUGUUGAGGAGAAUCCCAGAGAUCUGAAUCCCAGGAGAAGUCAGCCCAUCCUGCUGUUCGUGGGAAUCUAUAAAGGAGGUGCACAAAGCUCCAGUUGCCCCUGAUUUGAGAGAUGUCUCCAGAGCAGCACUUGUUCCUGGAAAAGUUUGAGAGCCUGUGUCCAAGACGCUCUCCAACUUACUCACUUGGAAGGACUCCAGCUCUCCAUUUAUUCUUUACUGGCCCUGAGCAGUAGAGUAGGCUAAACAAAAACCCACACUUAAGCUGAAGAUGCUCAACUUAAACACAUGACCACUACUUUCAAGUUCCAGCGAUUCUCCUCCUGCAGCCUCCCGAGUAGCUGGGAUCACAGGUGUGUGCCACCACGCUUG